rnacentral:rRNA from 1 species
UACAGAGGCCUCGAGCGUUAGGCGGAAUCACUGGGCUUAAAGCGUGUGUAGGCGGACUUCUAAGUACCUUGUGAAAUCCCACGGCUUACCCGUGGAACGGCUGGGUAUACUGGUUGUCUUGAGCCACUUAGGGGCUACCGGAACAAAUGGUGGAGCGGUGAAAUGCGUAGAUAUCAUUUGGAACGCCAAUGGUGAAAACAGGUAGCUGGGAGUGUGCUGACGCUGAGACACGAAAGCCAGGGGAGCGAACAGG